ensembl:lncRNA
GUGAGUUCAAGGUCAGCCUGAACUGCAUAAUGAGCCCCUGUCUCAAAAAAACCAAAGGAAAAAGGAAAAAACAAAACAAAACAGACCAUGUCUCCUUGCCUGGGUGGUGGGGUACAAAGUGACCCUCCCCUGCGUUUAGAGGACAGAAGCAGCACUCGACCUCCGGUGGAUUCUUGUGCCCUUCAGGUGAAGCUAUCCUCAGGGAGACUCCCAGGCUUGCUGAUAUCCAUGGCUACCAGCAGCAGGCACCUGCCCACUCCUCAGUCACCUGCCCACUCCCUGUUGGGAGCCCCCAGAAACAGUGGCACCCCUUGGAGGAACGGCUGGGGUGGCUGGAGGCUGAGGUGCCCAAGCUCAGAGAGCAGAGAAGAUCUCAUCUGAACAGUCUUUAACAUCCAUUCUCUCAUGAGUGAAGAAUCUCCAGAGUAUUUGUGGUGUGUGGAUUUCCGUGCCCUUCAUAAUGAAGCACCUGCCAGGCACGGGGUGAGGGUGGGGACUGCUGCCCUUUCUGCCCAAGGAUGGACCUGUGCUCCCUGAGAACCAUGUGAGACGGAUGCUGACAGAAGGAGACCGGCCUCUGCCGUGGAGUUGUCAAAUUCUCAUCCUGACUCCGUUUUUGCACCUCAUGAAUCCAUGAGACAUGGAAAGGCUGAGCUGUAGUCCCAUCUCUUCCCCAGAAUGAGGACCUGCAGGCCAGAGUGAGGCGGCUGGAGUCCUGUGAAUGCCGCCCUGCCUCUGUCCAGUGCUGGGGGCUUGGGCGCGCCUGGCCUGAGGGGUCUUGCUGGGAGCCCAAUGCCUGCACAGCCUGCAUCUGCCAGGACGGGGCAGCACGCUGUGGCCCUCGGCCCGAGCUGCCCCACUGCCAACGCUGCAGCCACAAUGGUCAGGUCUGUGGUAAUGGGGAGACGUUCUCCCCAGACACCUGCACCUCCUGCCUCUGCCUGGUGAGUUCCCACGCCCUCCCUCCAGCUCCCCAUCACUAGGUGCUGGGACUGGAUAUUGUGUGAUGGGUUCUUGCCCCUGGUGGCCUUGGGCUGAUUCUCUGGGGGUCUGCUGUCUGAAGUGCAACCCCCCCCCCAAGCCUCAAGCCCCUUGAUUUUGCCUUGACAAAGAGUGGCAUGGGGGCCAGAGGAUGUAGUUACUAUCUUCUUUCCUCAAACCCUCUCCUGUGUGACGAGCGCUGUUGCCCUCACCCCACCUCAUCUGCUACCUCACAUUUCCACUGCCUGCUUUCUGUCACUUCCUCCAUGGCCUUUUCUCCUGGCCUUUUCUUUCCUACUCCUCCACUGAGAAAGCCCUGGGUUCUCUUCCUAGGAUCUCUCCACUCUGGGGAAGUUGCUGGCACCUGGAGAAGCGGGUUCCAAGGGGUCAAGGGCUUCAGGAAUGGUGGGGUGGAUGGGACAUCUCUUUUCUGCCCUUGGGCUGGGGUAGCAUGUAUGCUGAGCCAGCUCAUCCUCUGCUUCUGGACACAUUCCUGCCUGGGGUGAGUCUGGAGUUCGGAAGGCCCUGCAGUCACCCUAGCUGCUUCCACAGGAAGGGGCCAUCACCUGUACCCAGAAGCCAUGCCCAAGAGCACCCUGCCCUGAGCUGGGAGCAUGCUGCCCACACUGUGAACCAGGUCAGCAUGCUACAGGCCCUGCCCUCCCUCCUGGUUGUGCCCUGGGGGACCUGACAGAGAGAGAGAGCAGAGCUGAAGAAACCCUGUGAUGGUGCCUGGUGAGUGCUGAGCUGAGCUGGAGCCAGCAAAUGCUGACGCUGCCCUGGGAUGCAUCAAAGAUUAUCAGGACCCUGAGGAGCUUCUGGUCU